rnacentral:rRNA from 1 species
AUUGAACGCUGGCGGCAGGCCUAACACAUGCAAGUCGAGCGGAUGAAGGGAGCUUGCUCCUGGAUUCAGCGGCGGACGGGUGAGUAAUGCCUAGGAAUCUGCCUGGUAGUGGGGGAUAACGUCCGGAAACGGGCGCUAAUACCGCAUACGUCCUGAGGGAGAAAGUGGGGGAUCUUCGGACCUCACGCUAUCAGAUGAGCCUAGGUCGGAUUAGCUAGUUGGUGGGGUAAAGGCCUACCAGGGCGACGAUCCGUAACUGGUCUGAGAGGAUGAUCAGUCACACUAGAACUGAGACACGCUCCAGAGUACUACGGGAGGCAGCAGUGGGGAAUAUUGGACAAAGGGCGAAAGCCUGAUCCAGCCAUGCCGCGUAUGUGAAGAAGGUCUUCGGAUUGUAAAGAACUUUAAGUUGGGAGGAAGGGCAGUAAGUUAAUACCUUGCUGUUUUGACGUUACCAACAGAAUAAGCACCGGCUAACUUCGUG